rnacentral:rRNA from 1 species
AAGAGACAGCAGUAGCCACGGUAAUACAGAGGGUGCGAGCGUUAAUCGGAUUUACUGGGCGUAAAGCGUGCGUAGGCGGCUUCUUAAGUCGGAUGUGAAAUCCCUGAGCUUAACUUAGGAAUUGCAUUCGAUACUGGGAAGCUAGAGUAUGGGAGAGGAUGGUAGAAUUCCAGGUGUAGCGGUGAAAUGCGUAGAGAUCUGGAGGAAUACCGAUGGCGAAGGCAGCCAUCUGGCCUAAUACUGACGCUGAGGUACGAAAGCAUGGGGAGCAAACAGGAUUAGAUACCCGCGUAGUCCCUGUCUCUUAUAA